rnacentral:rRNA from 1 species
CUCACCGCCCGUCACACCAUGGGAGUUGUGUUUGCCUUAAGUCAGGAUGCUAAAUUGGCUACUGCCCACGGCACACACAGCGACUGGGGUGAAGUCGUAACAAGGUAACCGUAGGUGAACCUGCGGUUGGAUCACCUCCUUUCUAGA